rnacentral:rRNA from 1 species
GACGAACGCUGGCGGCGUGCUUAAUACAUGCAAGUCGAACGGAAAGGCCCUGCUUUUGUGGGGUGCUCGAGUGGCGAACGGGUGAGUAACACGUGAGUAACCUGCCCUUGACUUUGGGAUAACCUCAGGAAACUGGGGCUAAUACCGGAUAGGAGCUCCUGCUGCAUGGUGGGGGUUGGAAAGUUUCGGCGGAUGGUGAUGUACUCGCGGCUUAUCAGUUUGUUGGUGGGGUAGUGGCUUACCAAGGCUUUGACGUGUAGCCGGUAUGAGAGGGUGACAGGCAACAUUGGGACUGAGAUACGGCCAAGACUACUACGGGAGGCAGCAGUGGGGAAUAUUGCACUAAGGGCGGAAGCCUGAUGCAGCAAAGCCGCGUGGCGGAUGACGGCCUUCGGGUUGUAUACCGCUUUCGCCUGUGACGAAGCGCAAGUGACGGUAAUGGGUCAAGAAGCCCCGGCUAACUACGUG